CGACAGGACUUCCCGGGUGUCCCCCGGCCGUGGACAGGCCACCGCCCCUGGGGUUCCUCAGCUUCUCUGCCAGGCGGGGGGACUGGGGAGGACGGGCACCGCCUCCAGAGGCGGCUGGGAUUCGUCCGCUCGCUGCCCCCGCAGCUCUGUCCCCCAGCAGUGUCCUCCAGGCUAAGAUCCUUUCGCCCUGCGGCCGGCACAGGGGCCGGGGGGGACAGACACUGGGCCUGGCCCGUGGUCCCGGACAAGGCCUCUGCGGGCCUCCCGCGAGUCACCAUGCGCGGGUCAGCGGUCCCCGGCGGCAGUCCAGGAGGGAGGGGAGGAAGGGGGGGAGCAGCGAGCCUUUCUUCAGUCCUCUGGGAAAAUGUCCUCGCACCACCUGUCCGCAGAGUCAGGACACGCCCUCCCCGGGCGUCCACUCCCGAAUCCCAGAACCCAUAAACACGUCACCAGUUGCAAGGCUCUUAUAUUGAAUCGCCACAGCCUGCUGUAAUCUGCGCGGUCAGGAACGGGGAAAGAAGUCAGAGUGGGCCCGUCUCCCGCACCUUGCCCCACGCUGUGUUAAUCGGCUCUCAGGCACCAGCAGCUCUGGGGAGCUGGACUUCGGAGACAGCGAGAAUCCAGGAGCAGGUUCAAGCCUGAGCUCCACUGGCUGCUGGUGAUUCCGGGCAAGCCGAUUUACCUCUCCGAGCCUCAGUUUCCCCAAAUGUGCAGGGUGUGAUGGCGGCCUCCGGAGCUGUUCCCGGGAAGGCCCCUCCCGGAGGCCACGGCCAGGAGCACCAGGCGCUCCGCGGGGCCAUCCCAGCCCGGAGACCGGGCCCCGUGUCCCCAUCUUCAGCUGCCACCCGGCAGGGCCAUGUUCCUUUCCGCUGGAGCGGGGUGUCCUCGCCAUGCUGCCCGGGAGCCCGGCUCCACGUCCUCACCUGCCCCAGCCGAAAAGAAAACAGACAGGUAUGAGUGUUUCUAUUUAAGUUGUUUAUAAAAACGGAAGUGUUCAUUACAGAAACUUUGAAAAUACAGAAGAGCACAAAAACAUAUUACCCAUAAGAUAAUUACUGAGUAUGUUUUGUUGAAAGUCCUGGUAUAUUUUCAAAAUCAUAUAUGUAUGUGUGUGUGGUCAUACUAUUGGUAUUUCAGAAUCUUUGUUUAAUAUGGUGGUGAGCAUUUUAUGUCAUUAAAUAUUAUUCUAUAAGGAUUUGAAAAAUAAAAUGCAAAUGCCAAUUAAUCUUCUCAUCAGCUUUAUUGAGGUACAAUUUACACGCAGGAAGACUCCUCUCACUUGUACUGUCUGAUGAGUUUUGACAAAGGCGUACAGCCGUCACCACCGCCGGGAGAGGAAGCAUCCGUCAUCACAAGGUUUUCCUCGGCUCUGCCUGCAGUCGGCCUCAGCGUCCCGGGUCCCUGGCAGUCACUGAUCUGAAUUCUGUCACUGUGGAUGAGUUUCCUCUUUGUGAGAAUUUAAUAUAAAUGGAAGCAGGGAGUGUGAAGUCCUGCUCAGCACCGUUAUCUUGAGAGUCUUCUAUGUUGUGGGGUUUAUCGCUAGAGCGCUCCUUUCCCGCUUCUGUCAUUCCGGUGAAUGCCCAUCACGGGUUGUUUGUUCAUUUGCCUGUUGAUAGACAAAUGGGUUGUUUCUGAUUUUUUGGCUCUUGUGAAUAAAGCUUUGUGAGUGCCUUUUUUUUUUUUUAACUUUUAAUAAGAAUCUCCAGUGGCGCCCGUUAUGGACUAGCCGCUGGGGUGGGCAUGGCCUGAGAGCGGUGGAGUGUCCCACCCUGUGGACGGCUUGCAAUUUUUGCCACUGUUGUCGGCCAUUUAGUCACUUAGUUGUGGUUUUUUAGUAUUCCAUUUUUAAAUUUUCUGUUUGAGAGAUUGUGAGUUUACAAAACAAUGAUGCAUACCAUGCAGGAUUCCCAUGCGUGGCCCCACCUUCACCUUACAUUGUUGUGACACAUUUGUUACAAAUGAUGACAGCACACCGUCAAAACAGUACUGCUCUCUCUAGUCCAUAGUUCAUAUUUGGUAUAUUAUUCCCACAAACCAUCCUAUUAUUAACUCCAUGUGUAGCAGUUUGAUAUAAUUGAUGAAUUCCAAAAAGAAAUAUUGGAUUAUGCUUGUAAUCUGAUCUGCACCUGGGCAUGACUGAGUCAGGAUUCGGGCAAUUAGGGGGUUGAGUUCCCGCCCCUUGGUGUUGGGAUUUAAAAAAAGGCAUGGCAAAGAACAGAGUUGGGGGCUUUUAAUGUUGGAGUUUUGAUUUUGGAGUUUGAUGCCGAAGACUUAAGCUGGAGCCCUGGGAAGUCAGCACGCAGCCUGACCCCUCGCAGACGUCUUGCUCCAAAUAGACUUUGGUGAGGGAAGUAACUUCUGCUUUAUGGCCUGGUAUCUGUAGGCUCCUACCCCAAAUAAACACCCUUUAUAAACACCAACCCAUUUCUGGUAUUUUGCAUCAGCGCCCCCUUG
rnacentral:lncRNA from 1 species